rnacentral:rRNA from 1 species
ACUUUUAACAACGGAUCUCUUGGCUCUCGCAUCGAUGAAGAACGCAGCGAAAUGCGAUAAGUAAUGUGAAUUGCAGAAUUCAGUGAAUCAUCGAAUCUUUGAACGCACCUUGCGCCUUUUGGUAUUCCGAAAGGCAUGCCUGUUUGAGUGUCAU